AUACAGAGGGUGCGAGCGUUAAUCGGAUUUACUGGGCGUAAAGCGUGCGUAGGCGGCUUUUUAAGUCGGAUGUGAAAUCCCCGAGCUUAACUUGGGAAUUGCAUACGAUACUGGUUAGCUAGAGUAUGGGAGAGGAUGGUAGAAUUCCAGGUGUAGCGGUGGAAUGCGUAGAGAUCUGUAGGAAUACCGAUGGCGAAGGCAGCCAUCUGGCCUAAUACUGACACUGAGGUGCGAAAGCAUGGGGAGCAAACAGGAUUAGAUACCCUGGUAGUCCAUGCCGUAAACGAUGUCUACUAGCCGUUGGGGGAUUUGAUCCUUUAGUGGCGCAGCUAACGCGAUAAGUAGACCGCCUGGGGAGUACGGUCGCAAGACUAAAACUCAAAUGAAUCGACGGGG
rnacentral:rRNA from 1 species